GUGCUUACUCCUUGUAACUUUUAUCAACUGAUAUGUAACGUUGGCUGAAUCAUGUUUCUUUGUGUAACAGAGGAUGGCUACAUAGGUAAGUGUGGGUUUAUUCACUUAACCCAGAUGCUUAUCUUGUUAUUAAAGCAUGUUGCUUCCAAUUUGAUUUGUCAUUUCAAUUUAGUUUUAAGGGCAAGAAGGCAGAGGUAGGGGGAAGUUUUAGCUCUGCACUUGUUGGUGAGAAUGAACAUUUUGGUGGACACUGCGAUUUGAGUUCUGAUUGUAAAAUAACCAGAUAUUUAGGACUGAAUAAUUAACUGUCUGUCUUUACUUUCAGAACAUUUGGAGAAGAUCAAGUGGCUGACUGAAGAGAAGAUCGGGCUGAGGGCACAGCUGGCUCUACAAUCAACUUCUGAUAAACGUCUGACUGAAAAUAAUGUCAAGCCGAGGGCACAGCUCACUCUACAAUCAGGAGCCAUAAGGAAGAAUCUUUCCAACCGGGAUGCCACUGAUGAGGCUGUCCAGAACCAGGUCCCCAGGUACCAGAAAGCGGCAGCUGACCGUGCAGGUGGGAGAUGUCGCGGCGGUACAAGGGACCUGCCGUGAAUAUGAAUGACAUCUCCAGGACAACUAAUAUUGCUGCUAAGCUGCAGUACUGUAGCCUAUUUCUUAUUUAUUUAUUUUUACUGCUGCUAUGUACAGUGUUAUAUACAGACGUGCUAAAAUUU
ensembl:lncRNA